GCCCUCGUAGCUCAGCCGGAUAGAGCAGCGGCCUUCUAAGCCGACGGUCAGAGGUUCGAGUCCUCUCGGGGGCG
rnacentral:tRNA from 1 species